rnacentral:rRNA from 1 species
CCUACGGGUGGCAGCAGUGAGGAAUAUUGGUCAAUGGACGAGAGUCUGAACCAGCCAAGUAGCGUGAAGGAUGACUGCCCUAUGGGUUGUAAACUUCUUUUAUAUGGGAAUAAAAUGUUCCACGUGUGGGAUUUUGUAUGUACCAUAUGAAUAAGGAUCGGCUAACUCCGUGCCAGCAGCCGCGGUAAUACGGAGGAUCCGAGCGUUAUCCGGAUUUAUUGGGUUUAAAGGGAGCGUAGGUGGAUUGUUAAGUCAGUUGUGAAAGUUUGCGGCUCAACCGUAAAAUUGCAGUUGAAACUGGCAGUCUUGAGUACAGUAGAGGUGGGCGGAAUUCGUGGUGUAUCGGUGAAAUGCUUAGAUAUCACGAAGAACUCCUAUUGCGAAGGCAGUUCACUGGACUGCAACUGACACUGAGGCUCGAAAGUGUGGGUAUCAAACAGGAUUAGAUACCCCAGUAGUC